GGAUAGGGGUGAAAGGCCAAUCAAACCCGGAGAUAUCUCGUUCUCCCCGAAAUAGCUUUAGGGCUAGCGUCGCGCGUUCACCGCCGGAGGUAGAGCACCGGAUGGACGAGGGGGCUUCGCCGCCUACCGAAUCCAACCGAACUCCGAAUGCCGGCGGCCCAGAGCGCGGCAGUCAGAGCAUGUGGGCUAAGCUGUGUGCUCGAGAGGGAAACAGCCCGGACCGCCCGCUAAGGUCCCCAAGUUCCAGCCGAGUGGCAAAGGAUGUGCGUCCGCCCAGACAACCAGGAUGUUGGCUUAGAAGCAGCCAUCCAUUCAAAGAGUGCGUAACAGCUCACUGGUCGAGUGGACAUGCGCCGACAAUACACGGGGCUAAGCUGGACACCGAAGCGGCGGGAUUUUGAUUUACAGAAUCGGUAGGGGAGCUUCCCAUGGGCGGAGAAGCCGGAGGGCGACCGACGGUGGAGCGCAUGGGAGUGAGAAUGCUGGCAUGAGUAGCGAGAGACGAGAGAGUAACUCGUCCGCCGUGAACCCGAGGUUUCCUGGGCAAGGCUAAUCCUCCCAGGGUCAGUCGGGGGCUAAGGCGAGGCCGGUAGGCGUAGCCGACGCGCAGCAGGCAGACAUUCCUGCACCGCGCACGCGGCGCUACGACCGACGGGGCGACGGAUGGGGGUGGCUCGGCGGGGUUCUGGACGUCCCCGUGAUGGAGCGCGGCCCGCGGACCAGGGAAAUCCGGUCCGCACGAGGGCGAGGCUCCGGACGAAGCACUUAAGCGAAGCGAGUGAGCCCGAGGUCCCUAGAAAAACCCCUAGGCAGGCGCGUGCGCGCCCGUACCGCAAACCGACACAGGUGGGUGGGUAGAACAUACCGAGGCGAUCGGGUCAACCAUGGUCAAGGAACUCGGCACAAUGGCCCCGUAACUUCGGGAGAAGGGGUGCCCGCGCGUACGUGAACCGGCUUGCCCGGGGAGCGGAGGCGGGCCGCAGUGGAGAGGCCCAAGCGACUGUUUACCAAAAACACAGGACUCUGCAGAAGCCGCAAGGCGACGUAUAGGGUCUGACGCCUGCCCGGUGCCGGAAGGUCACGCGGAGGAGUUAGCGCAUCGCGCGAAGCCCCGAAGCCAAGCCCCGGUAAACGGCGGCCGUAACUAUAACGGUCCUAAGGUAGCGAAAUUCCUUGUCGGGUAAGUUCCGACCUGCACGAAAGGCGCAACGACUUGGGCGCUGUCUCGACCAUGGACCCGGUGAAAUUGCACUGGUCGUGAAGAUGCGACUUACCCGCGGAAGGACGGAAAGACCCCGUGAACCUUCACUGCAGCUUGGCAUUGGCCGCUGGUCCCGCGUGUAGAGGAUAGGCAGGAGGCACAGAUCCGGAGGCGCCAGCCCCCGGGGAGCCGCCCUUGGAAUACUGCCCUCGCGCGACCGGCGUCCUAACCCGAGGCCGUCAACCGGCUCGGGGACCGUGCCAGGCGGGCAGUUUGACUGGGGCGGUCGCCUCCUAAAGGGUAACGGAGGCGCGCGAAGGUCCGCUCGGGACGGUCGGCAACCGUCCUUUUGAAUGCAAGAGUACAAGCGGGCUUGACUGCGAGGCCCACAAGCCGAGCAGGUGCGAAAGCAGGCUCUAGUGAUCCGGCGGCCCCGAGUGGGUGGGCCGUCGCUCAACGGAUAAAAGGUACUCCGGGGAUAACAGGCUGAUCUUGCCCAAGAGUCCACAUCGACGGCAAGGUUUGGCACCUCGAUGUCGGCUCAUCGCAUCCUGGGGCUGUAGCAGGUCCCAAGGGUUGGGCUGUUCGCCCAUUAAAGCGGUACGCGAGCUGGGUUCAGAACGU
rnacentral:rRNA from 1 species